rnacentral:rRNA from 1 species
UACGUAGGUGGCAAGCGUUGUCCGGAUUUAUUGGGUUUAAAGGGUGCGUAGGCGGUUCUAUAAGUCAGUGGGGAAAUGCCGCAGCUUAACUGCGGAACUGCCAUUGAUACUGCUUAGCUUGAAUCAGGUCGAGGUGGAUGGAAUAUUACAUGUAGCGGUGAAAUGCUUAGAUAUGUAAUAGAACACCGAUUGCGAAGGCAGUUCACUAGGCCUGAAUUGACACUGAGGCACGAAAG